rnacentral:snRNA from 1 species
CUACUAGCUUUGGCAACACACACACUGAAAUGGGAAUGACACAGAGAAGAUGAGCACAACCGCUGCACAGGACGAUAUGCAAAUUCAUGAAGCGUUCCACAUUUAA